rnacentral:rRNA from 1 species
GAAUCUGGGAGGACCAUCUCCUAAGGCUAAAUACUCUCUAGUGACCGAUAGUGAACCAGUACCGUGAGGGAAAGGUGAAAAGCACCCCGGAAGGGGAGUGAAAUAGAACCUGAAACCGUGUGCUUACAAGUAGUCAGAGCCCGUUAAUGGGUGAUGGCGUGCCUUUUGUAGAAUGAACCGGCGAGUUACGAUUUGAUGCAAGGUUAAGCAGUAAAUGUGGAGCCGUAGCGAAAGCGAGUCUGAAUAGGGCGUUUAGUAUUUGGUCGUAGACCCGAAACCAGGUGAUCUACCCUUGGUCAGGUUGAAGUUCAGGUAACACUGAAUGGAGGACCGAACCGACUUACGUUGAAAAGUGAGCGGAUGAACUGAGGGUAGCGGAGAAAUUCCAAUCGAACCUGGAGAUAGCUGGUUCUCUCCGAAAUAGCUUUAGGGCUAGCCUCAAGUGAUGAUUAUUGGAGGUAGAGCACUGUUUGGACGAGGGGCCCCUCUCGGGUUACCGAAUUCAGACAAACUCCGAAUGCCAAUUAAUUUAACUUGGGAGUCAGAACAUGGGUGAUAAGGUCCGUGUUCGAAAGGGAAACAGCCCAGACCACCAGCUAAGGUCCCAAAAUAUAUGUUAAGUGGAAAAGGAUGUGGCGUUGCCCAGACAACUAGGAUGUUGGCUUAGAAGCAGCCAUCAUUUAAAGAGUGCGUAAUAGCUCACUAGUCGAGUGACACUGCGCCGAAAAUGUACCGGGGCUAAACAUAUUACCGAAGCUGUGGAUUGUCCUUUGGACAAUGGUAGGAGAGCGUUCUAAGGGCGUUGAAGCAUGAUCGUAAGGACAUGUGGAGCGCUUAGAAGUGAGAAUGCCGGUGUGAGUAGCGAAAGACGGGUGAGAAUCCCGUCCACCGAUUGACUAAGGUUUCCAGAGGAAGGCUCGUCCGCUCUGGGUUAGUCGGGUCCUAAGCUGAGGCCGACAGGCGUAGGCGAUGGAUAACAGGUUGAUAUUCCUGUACCACCUAUAAUCGUUUUAAUCGAUGGGGGGACGCAGUAGGAUAGGCGAAGCGUGCGAUUGGAUUGCACGUCUAAGCAGUAAGGCUGAGUAUUAGGCAAAUCCGGUACUCGUUAAGGCUGAGCUGUGAUGGGGAGAAGACAUUGUGUCUUCGAGUCGUUGAUUUCACACUGCCGAGAAAAGCCUCUAGAUAGAAAAUAGGUGCCCGUACCGCAAACCGACACAGGUAGUCAAGAUGAGAAUUCUAAGGUGAGCGAGCGAACUCUCGUUAAGGAACUCGGCAAAAUGACCCCGUAACUUCGGGAGAAGGGGUGCUCUUUAGGGUUAACGCCCAGAAGAGCCGCAGUGAAUAGGCCCAAGCGACUGUUUAUCAAAAACACAGGUCUCUGCUAAACCGUAAGGUGAUGUAUAGGGGCUGACGCCUGCCCGGUGCUGGAAGGUUAAGAGGAGUGGUUAGCUUCUGCGAAGCUACGAAUCGAAGCCCCAGUAAACGGCGGCCGUAACUAUAACGGUCCUAAGGUAGCGAAAUUCCUUGUCGGGUAAGUUCCGACCCGCACGAAAGGCGUAACGAUUUGGGCACUGUCUCAACGAGAGACUCGGUGAAAUCAUAGUACCUGUGAAGAUGCAGGUUACCCGCGACAGGACGGAAAGACCCCGUGGAGCUUUACUGUAGCCUGAUAUUGAAAUUCGGCACAGCUUGUACAGGAUAGGUAGGAGCCUUUGAAACGUGAGCGCUAGCUUACGUGGAGGCGCUGGUGGGAUACUACCCUAGCUGUGUUGGCUUUCUAACCCGCACCACUUAUCGUGGUGGGAGACAGUGUCAGGCGGGCAGUUUGACUGGGGCGGUCGCCUCCUAAAAGGUAACGGAGGCGCUCAAAGGUUCCCUCAGAAUGGUUGGAAAUCAUUCAUAGAGUGUAAAGGCAUAAGGGAGCUUGACUGCGAGACCUACAAGUCGAGCAGGGUCGAAAGACGGACUUAGUGAUCCGGUGGUUCCGCAUGGAAGGGCCAUCGCUCAACGGAUAAAAGCUACCCCGGGGAUAACAGGCUUAUCUCCCCCAAGAGUUCACAUCGACGGGGAGGUUUGGCACCUCGAUGUCGGCUCAUCGCAUCCUGGGGCUGUAGUCGGUCCCAAGGGUUGGGCUGUUCGCCCAUUAAAGCGGUACGCGAGCUGGGUUCAGAACGUCGUGAGACAGUUCGGUCCCUAUCCGUCGUGGGCGUAGGAAAUUUGAGAGGAGCUGUCCUUAGUACGAGAGGACCGGGAUGGACAUACCUCUGGUGUACCAGUUGUCGUGCCAACGGCAUAGCUGGGUAGCUAUGUGUGGACGGGAUAAGUGCUGAAAGCAUCUAAGCAUGAAGCCCCCC